AUGCUCGCUUUAGCAGCACAUAUACUAAAAUUGGAAUGACACAGAGAUUAGCAUGGCCCCUGAGCAAGGAUGACACACAUAUUCAUGAAGCUUUCCAUAUUUUG